CAUGCUAGACGAGUUUGAUCAUGGCUUAGAACGAACGCUGGCGGCAGGCCUAACACAUGCAAGUCGAACGAUAUAGUGGCAGACGGGUGAGUAACGCGUGGGAACGUACCUUUCGCUACGGAAUAGCUCUGGGAAACUGGUGGUAAUACCGUAUACGCCCUUAGGGGGAAAGAUUUAUCGGCGAAAGAUCGGCCCGCGUUAGAUUAGGUAGUUGGUGGGGUAAUGGCCUACCAAGCCUACGAUCUAUAGCUGGUCUGAGAGGAUGAUCAGCCACACUGGGACUGAGACACGGCCCAGACUCCUACGGGAGGCAGCAGUGGGGAAUCUUGCACAAUGGGCGAAAGCCUGAUGCAGCCAUGCCGCGUGAAUGAUGAAGGCCUUAGGGUUGUAAAAUUCUUUCGCUAGGGAUGAUAAUGACAGUACCCAGUAAAGAAGCCCCGGCUAACUUCGUG
rnacentral:rRNA from 1 species